UUUUUAAACCUUCCUGGAGGAGCUUGCUAUCUAAUCGAUAAUCCUCGCCAUACCUCACCAGCUUUUGCCUAUCAGCCUGUAUACCAUCGUCGUCAGUUUACCUCCUAAGAGCAGUAAACAAAAGGAACAAUAACUUCACAACGCCAGAUCUAGGUGCAGCUUAUAAGCUGGGGAUUAGUGAGCUACAAUAUUUUAUAAUAAACCAUUAUGGACGUACCCACAAAUACGGGUAUAAAAACAGGAUUCAGAAGUAAUUACAAAGUAGAAAAUUGUAAUGAACAUAAAGCUCUAAAAUACGC
rnacentral:rRNA from 1 species